rnacentral:rRNA from 1 species
GCUCUCCGGGGCUAUGUCUGUCUGAGGGUCGUUGA